AACGUAGGAGACAAACGUUAUCCGGAGUUACUGGGCGUAAAGGGCGUGUAGGUGGUUUUGUAAGUCUGGCGUGAAAUAUCUCGGCUUAACCGAGGCAGGUCGUCGGAUACUGCAAGACUAGAGGACGGUAGAGGCGUGUGGAAUUCCUGGUGUAGCGGUGAAAUGCGCAGAUAUCAGGAGGAACACCGAUGGCGAAGGCAGGUCUCUGGGCCACUACUGACGCUGAGAAGCGAAAGCAUGGGGAGCGAACAGG
rnacentral:rRNA from 1 species